GUAGGUGAACCUGCGGAAGGAUCAUUACCAAGUUUAAUCCAAAACACUCAACCCAUGUGCACGAUGAUCUGUCUGUCUUUGGGGUGAAAGAAUCUAGGGUUAUUUACUAGCCAUACUUGAUUUCACCCCACAUGUGUAAACAUCCUUUAAUUUUAUUGGCAUCUACUUGUCUUAUAAUAGACAACUUUUAACGGUGGAUCUCUUGGCUCGU
rnacentral:misc_RNA from 1 species